ensembl:lncRNA novel transcript
GAUCAUGAAUAUUUUUUUCUAAGAUACGUGUGGGAGAGCAGCUCUGGAAGAGUUAAAGGUCUUAGUAGCUCUGUCACUGUCUUCCCCAAACAAGGCUGAAGCUGUGCUGCAUAUUCUUACCUAGCCUAGGAAGUCAUAAAACAUCACUCUGCUUCAUUCUGUUGGAUACUGAUGAGUCAAAACUUGCCAUUUUCAAAGGAAAAGAAUGCAGACACCUCUUAAAAGAGCAGGUAGUUAGAAUGCAACACUGGAAGAAUGUGAGUUUGAGACUAGAAAGAAAAAUUGAGGUAGCAUUCAUAUGGCAACUUCAUAUGACUUGAUGAUGUGAGAUUCAACUGUUCUCCUUAGUGUGUUCUCUCUGCAAUUCCAGACCCCAUGAAAUAAAUCUCUGAAGCUUGCUUGUCUCCCAAACACUGUGUAAACCCACUGAAAACUUAAGUAAUGGAGUAAACAGCUUUCUGUGGCUUCC